rnacentral:rRNA from 1 species
UACGUAGGUGGCAAGCGUUGUCCGGAUUUACUGGGUGUAAAGGGCGUGCAGCCGGGCUGACAAGUCAGAUGUGAAAACCAGGGGCUCAACCUCUGGAGUGCAUUUGAAACUGUUGGUCUUGAGUAUCGGAGAGGUAACCGGAAUUCCUAGUGUAGCGGUGAAAUGCGUAGAUAUUAGGAAGAACAUCAGUGGCGAAGGCGGGUUACUGGACGACAACUGACGGUGAGGCGCGAAAGCGUGGGGAGCAAACAGG